CGGGAAAAGACCGGACGUUUUCUGAGGCGAGACGUUUACUUCAGGACAGGAUCUGCGAUCAUGAUCUUCUUCACAGUGGCCGUUUUCAUGAUGUGGUCCUGCGAGAGCUCCGCCCGUCAUGAUGUCAUAUCCUGUGGGAGAAAGGGAUUUAUUUUUAAGCCCAAGAUUUAGACCCUUCCAGACCACACCAGACCACAUCCAGCUCUCCAAAACCACACAGAGUCCAGUCUGAUUCAUUCAUCUCCAUCAGGACAGACUGAUAUCACAGAUCAUUUCUCCUCUUCUGCUCCUCCCAUCUUUGGGUUUCCUGGAAAGAAAAACCUUCUGUGCUUUGGUUCUGUGUUCAGGGAAGCAUCUGAGAUGAAGUCGCUUCGAUGAGACGUGAAAAAGAAACUGCUGAGGUCUGAAAGAGCACAAGUGUAGUUCUGAUUAUUGUUGGUAUA